AUUGAACGCUUUCGGCAGGCCUAACACAUGCAAGUCGGGCGGUAACAGGGAUAGCUUGCUAUCUGCUGACGAGCGGCGGACGGGUGAGUAAUGCAUAGGAAUCUGCCUGAUAGUGGGGGAUAGCCCAGAGAAAUUUGGAUUAAUACCGCAUACGCCCUACGGGGGAAAGCAGGGGAUCUUAGGACCUUGCGCUAUCAGAUGAGCCUACGUCGGAUUAGCUAGUUGGUGAGGUAACGGCUCACCAAGGCGACGAUCCGUAGCUGGUCUGAGAGGAGAUCAGCCACAC
rnacentral:rRNA from 1 species